UACGUAGGGGGCAAGCGUUGUCCGGAUUUAUUGGGCGUAAAGAGCGUGUAGGCGGCUUGGCAAGUCCGCUGUGAAAACUCGAGGCUCAACCUCGAGCUGUCGGUGGAAACUGCCUGGCUAGAGUCCGGAAGAGGAGUGUGGAAUUCCUGGUGUAGCGGUGAAAUGCGCAGAUAUCAGGAAGAACACCUAUGGCGAAGGCAGCACUCUGGGACGGUACUGACGCUGAGACGCGAAAGCGUGGGGAGCGAACAGGG
rnacentral:rRNA from 1 species